GCUGAGAAACGGCUACCACAUCCAAGGAAGGCAGCAGGCGCGCAAAUUACCCACUCCCGGCACGGGGAGGUAGUGACGAAAAAUAACGAUGCGAGAGCUUUUAGCUUUUCGUAAUCGGAAUGGGUACACUUUAAAUCCUUUAACGAGGAUCUAUUGGAGGGCAAGUCUGGUGCCAGCAGCCGCGGUAAUUCCAGCUCCAAUAGCGUAUAUUAAAGUUGCUGCGGUUAAAAAGCUCGUAGUUGGAUCCGGGCAGUCGACGCGCGGUGCGCUUUACGGCGUUACUGCGUGCUCGUCGCCACUAUCCGGCCUUGUCUUUCAUGUUCUUUACUGAGCGUGAUCGGCGACCGGGACGUUUACUUUGAAAAAAUUAGAGUGCUUAAAGCAGGCAUAUGGCCUUGCAUAAUGGUGCAUGGAAUAAUGGAAUAGGACCUCGGUUCUAUUUUGUUGGUUUUCGGAGCUCGAGGUAAUGAUUAAGAGGAACAGACGGGGACAUUCGUAUUGCGGCGUUAGAGGUGAAAUUCUUGGAUCGUCGCAAGACGAACUACUGCGAAAGCAUUUGUCAAGAGUGUUUUCAUUAAUCAAGAUCGAAAGUUAGAGGUUCGAAGACGAUCAGAUACCGCCCUAGUUCUAACCAUAAACGAUGCCAACCAGCGAUCCGUCGGUGUUCAUUCAAUGACUCGACGGGCAGCUUCCGGGAAACCAAAGUGCUUAGGUUCCGGGGGAAGUAUGGUUGCAAAGCUGAAACUUAAAGGAAUUGACGGAAGGGCACCACCAGGAGUGGAGCCUGCGGCUUAAUUUGACCCAACACGGGAAAACUUACCCGGCCCGGACACUGUAAGGAUUGACAGAUUGAGAGCUCUUUCUUGAUUCGGUGGUUGGUGGUGCAUGGCCGUUCUUAGUUGGUGGAGCGAUUUGUCUGGUUAAUUCCGAUAACGAACGAGACUCUAGCCCGCUAAAUAGCCAACUGAUCCGCUGCGUCGGUUGCUAUAAGCUUCUUAGAGGGACAGGCGACGUUUAGUCGCACGAGAUUGAGCAAUAACAGGUCUGUGGUGCCCUUAGAUGCCCGGGGCCGCACGCGCGCUACACUGGUUGAAGCAGCUGGCAUUACGUCUAGGUCGAAAGGCCCGGAAAAUCCGCUGAAACUCAACCGUGAUUGGGAUUGAGCUUUGUAACUAUCGCUCAUGAACGAGGAAUUCCCAGUAAGCGCGAGUCAUAAGCUCGCGUUGAUUACGUCCCUGCCCUUUGUACACACCGCCCGUCGCUACUACCGAUUGAAUGAAUUAGUGAGGACUUCGGACCGGACAUCGCGGCUGUCGCAAGAUGGCUGCGGCUGGCUGGGAAGAUGUCCAAACUGGCUCAUUUAGAGG
rnacentral:rRNA from 1 species